GUGCCUGCUUCAGCAGCACAUAUACUAAAUCUGGAACGAUACAGAGAAGCUUAGCAUGGCCACGUGGAAGGAUGACGCUCAAAUUUGCCAAGUGUUCCAUAUUUUU